rnacentral:rRNA from 1 species
UAACUUCGGGAAACCGAACCUGAUACCGGAUAGGAUCUUCUCCUUCAUGGGAGAUGAUUGAAAGAUGGUUUCGGCUAUCACUUACAGAUGGGCCCGCGGUGCAUUAGCUAGUUGGUGAGGUAACGGCUCACCAAGGCAACGAUGCAUAGCCGACCUGAGAGGGUGAUCGGCCACACUGGGACUGAGACACGGCCCAGACUCCUACGGGAGGCAGCAGUAGGGAAUCUUCCGCAAUGGACGAAAGUCUGACGGAGCAACGCCGCGUGAGUGAUGAAGGCUUUCGGGUCGUAAAACUCUGUUGUUAGGGAAGAACAAGUACGAGAGUAACUGCUCGUACCUUGACGGUACCUAACCAGAAAGCCACGGCUAACUACGUGCCAGCAGCCGCGGUAAUACGUAGGUGGCAAGCGUUAUCCGGAAUUAUUGGGCGUAAAGCGCGCGCAGGCGGUUUCUUAAGUCUGAUGUGAAAGCCCACGGCUCAACCGUGGAGGGUCAUUGGAAACUGGGGAACUUGAGUGCAGAAGAGAAAAGCGGAAUUCCACGUGUAGCGGUGAAAUGCGUAGAGAUGUGGAGGAACACCAGUGGCGAAGGCGGC